rnacentral:rRNA from 1 species
GGGAAACCGGGGCUAAUGCCGGAUAACAUGUUGAACCGCAUGGUUCUACAGUGAAAGACGGUCUUGCUGUCACUUAUAGAUGGACCCGCGCCGUAUUAGCUAGUUGGUGGGGUAACGGCCUACCAAGGCGACGAUACGUAGCCGACCUGAGAGGGUGAUCGGCCACACUGGAACUGAGACACGGUCCAGACUCCUACGGGAGGCAGCAGUAGGGAAUCUUCCGCAAUGGGCGAAAGCCUGACGGAGCAACGCCGCGUGAGUGAUGAAGGUCUUCGGAUCGUAAAGCUCUGUUGUUAGGGAAGAACAAAUGUGUAAGUAACUGUGCACAUCUUGACGGUACCUAACCAGAAAGCCACGGCUAACUACGUGCCAGCAGCCGCGGUAAUACGUAGGUGGCAAGCGUUAUCCGGAAUUAUUGGGCGUAAAGCGCGCGUAGGCGGUUUUUUAAGUCUGAUGUGAAAGCCCACGGCUCAACCGUGGAGGGUCAUUGGAAACUGGAAAACUUGAGUGCAGAAGAGGAAAGUGGAAUUCCAUGUGUAGCGGUGAAAUGCGCAGAGAUAUGGAGGAACACCAGUGGCGAAGGCGGCUUUCUGGUCUGCAACUGACGCUGAUGUGCGAAAGCGUGGGGAUCAAACAGGAUUAGAUACCCUGGUAGUCCACGCCGUAAACGAUGAGUGCUAAGUGUUAGGGGGUUUCCGCCCCUUAGUGCUGCAGCUAACGCAUUAAGCACUCCGCCUGGGGAGUACGGUCGCAAGACUGAAACUCAAAGGAAUUGACGGGGACCCGCACAAGCGGUGGAGCAUGUGGUUUAAUUCGAAGCAACGCGAAGAACCUUACCAAAUCUUGACAUCCUUUGACCGCUCUAGAGAUAGAGUUUUCCUCUUCGGAGGACAAAGUGACAGGUGGUGCAUGGUUGUCGUCAGCUCGUGUCGUGAGAUGUUGGGUUAAGUCCCGCAACGAGCGCAACCCUUGAACUUAGUUGCCAUCAUUCAGUUGGGCACUCUAAGUUGACUGCCGGUGACAAACCGGAGGAAGGUGGGGAUGACGUCAAAUCAUCAUGCCCCUUAUGAUUUGGGCUACACACGUGCUACAAUGGACAAUACAAAGGGCAGCGAAACCGCGAGGUCAAGCAAAUCCCAUAAAGUUGUUCUCAGUUCGGAUUGUAGUCUGCAACUCGACUACAUGAAGCUGGAAUCGCUAGUAAUCGUAGAUCAGCAUGCUACGGUGAAUACGUUCCCGGGUCUUGUACACACCGCCCGUCACACCACGAGAGUUUGUAACACCCG